rnacentral:rRNA from 1 species
AGUGAACGCUGGCGGCGUGCCUAAUACAUGCAAGUCGAACGGAGUGGCGCACGGGUGAGUAAUAUAUAGCUACUCUGCCCCUUGCUGGAGGACAACAGUGAGAAAUGACUGCUAAUACUCCAUAGCAAGGGAUGAGACUAUAUCGUGUCAGCUAGUCGGUGGGGUAACUGCCUACCGAGUCUAUGACGCGUAACUGGACUGAGAGGAUGAUCAGUCACAUUGGAACGGAGGCACGGUCCGAACUCCUACGGGAAGCAGCAGUAGGGAAUAUUGCGCAAUGGGCGAAACCCUGACGCAGCAUCGCCGCGUGGAGGAUGACACUUUUCGGAGCGUAAACUCCUUUUGUUAGGGACGCGGUACCUAACGAAUAAGCACCGGCUAACUCCGUGCCAGCAGCCGCGGUAAUUC